CUCCCCGUUGCCGUCGCCCUGUUCGUCCCUCUCCAUGAGCUCGCGCCACUAAGCAGCCGCGACACCACAUGAAACCGUCAGUGUGUGUUCGGUGUGCUCCUGGUGGCUGCAGAACUAUGUGUACCCGAGAGUUGUCCUUGGACGUUGACUGGGUCAUGUUCGACAACACUCUUUGGUUUGUCAUGAAUGGAAAUAUGGAACAUGUAGAUACAGUGCGGAAAUCUGGAAGAUGAUGCUCACGUGCUUUUUGCCUUCUAUAUCUGAGGGUAAGAACUAAAGAGAAGAGUCAAUGUUGUUGUUGAGGAUCUCAGAACUGGUCCCUGGAUUUGGUGUUGUUGAGAUAAAGAGAAGGAUCUGAAGCUACAACCCCUUCUAAUAGUUUAUUGUCUGCAGGGCAUGGUUUGGCUGAUUUGAUAAUGCCCAUUUGAUCCUUCUUCUAUAUGUAAAUGGCUAAAUUAGGUUUGGGUGAUCUGAGAAUGGCCAUUUGGUCCUUCUGCAAGUAAAUGGGCUGAGUUAGGCUUACCCAUUAUUCACUUUGUACCAGCAUCUUCAUGGACUCUCUCUCAGUUCAGAUCCACUCUCUGCUAAUCAUUCAUGUCUAUGGUGA